rnacentral:lncRNA from 1 species
AUGACGGCUGUAGAUGAUUAGGGUUUCUGUUUCUGUAAUUGACUGCAUGAUAUCCGUAACUGAUUGUGAUCAAACGUAACUGUUAAUUGUCGAAAGAUAUUGCUACUCGAAACAUAGUUGUGGUCGAAAGAUGCUUGUAGUCGAAACAUAGUUGUGACCGAAAGAUAUCUGUUGACCGAAAGAUACAUGUUGACCGAAAGAUAUGUUCGAAACAUAGUUGUGACCGAAAGAUAUCUGUUGACCGAAAGAUACAUGUUGACCGAAAGAUAUGUGUGUGAUCGAAAGAUGACAAUAGGUUCGAAACAUAACCUUCGGUCCGAAAGAUAACUGAGAUAACUAAUGUGUCGAAAGAUAAGGGUGGAUCGAAAGAUGCUUGGUUAUGAAUGUACUUUGAAAGAUGGAAUUAUAUGUUUGAUUUAUUUGGCAUGCCAUGCUUGAUGAACGUUAACAUUUGUAUACGUGAAGUAAUACGUGUUGUGCCGUUAUGCAAACUGACUGUUAUGUGAACAUUAAAUUGCAUGCGUAUCAUU